rnacentral:lncRNA from 1 species
UGGGGGGAAGGGCAAGCAGACCGGCCAGGCUUGGUGCCCUUGUGAGGCUUACACGGGGUGCUCCAGGCAGCGUGUCAGGGACUGGCUUAGAAACCCGUGGGGUUGAGCGCUGGGUGUUGUAUGGAAACCAAUUUGACAAUAAAUUGCAUAUAUUGAAAAAAAAAAGAAAUGCAAAAAAAAAAAAAAACCCACAAGAAACCCACAGAGAAGAGGAGGGGAAAAUAGCACAAAAGACAAAAGCAAAACCAGGUAGCUGGGAGAUGGUGGGAAAACACUGACGUUGGACUGAAGGGUUGGCUUGGACGACUUGACCUCUCUGGGCUUUAGGAACUUCACCCCCCCCUCCCAGCGUGGCACCGGUAAAAAUCCCUCCCCGACAGCUACUCAGGGAAGAGGAAUCGGGUCCGAGUGUAGAAAGCAAAUAUUUAUUGAGAAUCUACUCUGUGCCAGGUGCUGUUAUAGGUAACAGCAACACAGGGAUUAAUAAAAUAAGAGUUUUGCCUUUGAGAAACUCUUAUUUCCGCAUGUACUUGCCCAUGCUGGCGAAGUGAGUGAGGAUAUAGAAACGAACUAAAAAAACAAACGUGUUGAAAGCCUGCUGUGUGACGGUCACUUUGUCCUGUGUUCUGUUACCUCAUUUUAACCUCGCGAGGACACUCCAAGGUGUUGUUCGCUUUACAAAGGAGGAAACUGGCCCAGAGACGUUCACCACGUUUGCCAAAACCACGCAGCUCGUAUGGAGUUUAGGAUGUGAAAUCUCCCCAGACCUCCAAUCCUCUCUCCUUCUCCACGGUUAGAAGCCAGCCAUCUGGAGCGUUCUCAUCUUACCACAGCCAAACCGCAGACCUGUCUAUACCAGCAUCUAGCCUGUCCUUUCCCCUCUUGUUCAAUGGAGAAAGCGUGCUUCUCGGUAUCACACGGAUUCUGGAUCCCAGAACUUCUCUUGGAUCUGUUUGUAGGUUUGGCCUUGUCGGAGCAUGCCAACAGACAGCAGAAUCACCAGCUACAUUUGCUAAGAGAGAUUGUGCCAAACUGAUGCACUUGACCGCCCGAGGAAACAACUCCCUGCUCUUCCAGGCUGGGGUCCAGGGCAGACACGGCUGGCGAAUGACUGGGUCAAAGAUGGCAGGAUUGAGGUUAUCAGCCUAACUAAGGGGGUGAAAUGGUUUGGUGAAGACACUGUCAGUCAACGUAAAUCAAGUGACUAGAGCAUCGUUUUACAGGCAUACUUGAACUUGGAACUUAUUAGCAGCAUGGAUUUAAUGUCGCCUGUAAAAGCAGCAUAAAGGUAAACCUUUAUUUGUUCUGCUUCCUCGCGCUAUAAAAACAGAGCUCACGCUCUGGGAGUUGAUGAGUCUGGAAAAAGGGGUGGGGCUAGA